rnacentral:rRNA from 1 species
CCUACGGGAGGCUGCAGUGAGGAAUAUUGGUCAAUGGACGAGAGUCUGAACCAGCCAAGUAGCGUGAAGGAUGACUGCCCUAUGGGUUGUAAACUUCUUUUAUAUGGGAAUAAAACGUUCCACGUGUGGGAUUUUGUAUGUACCAUAUGAAUAAGGAUCGGCUAACUCCGUGCCAGCAGCCGCGGUAAUACGGAGGAUCCGAUCGUUAUCCGGAUUUAUUGGGUUUAAAGGGAGCGUAGGUGGAUUGUUAAGUCAGUUGUGAAAGUUUGCGGCUCAACCGUAAAAUUGCAGUUGAAACUGGCAGUCUUGAGUACAGUAGAGGUGGGCGGAAGUCGUGGUGUAGCGGUGAAAUGCUUAGAUAUCACGAAGAACUCCGAUUGCGAAGGCAGUUCACUGGACUGCAACUGACACUGAGGCUCGAAAGUGUGGGUAUCAAACAGGAUUAGAUACCCCUGUAGUC